GACGAACGCUGGCGGCGUGCUUAACACAUGCAAGUCGAACGGAAAGGCCCUGCUUUUGUGGGGUGCUCGAGUGGCGAACGGGUGAGUAACACGUGAGUAACCUGCCCUUGACUUUGGGAUAACUUCAGGAAACUGGGGCUAAUACCGGAUAGGAGCUCCUGCUGCAUGGUGGGGGUUGGAAAGUUUCGGCGGUUGGGGAUGGACUCGCGGCUUAUCAGCUUGUUGGUGGGGUAGUGGCUUACCAAGGCUUUGACGGGUAGCCGGCCUGAGAGGGUGACCGGCCACAUUGGGACUGAGAUACGGCCCAGACUCCUACGGGAGGCAGCAGUGGGGAAUAUUGCACAAUGGGCGGAGGCCUGAUGCAGCAACGCCGCGUGCGGGAUGACGGCCUUCGGGUUGUAAACCGCUUUCGCCUGUGACGAAGCGUGAGUGACGGUAAUGGGUAAAGAAGCACCGGCUAACUACGUGCCAGCAGCCGCGGUGAUACGUAGGGUGCGAGCGUUGUCCGGAUUUAUUGGGCGUAAAGGGCUCGUAGGUGGUUGAUCGCGUCGGAAGUGUAAUCUUGGGGCUUAACCCUGAGCGUGCUUUCGAUACGGGUUGACUUGAGGAAGGUAGGGGAGAAUGGAAUUCCUGGUGGAGCGGUGGAAUGCGCAGAUAUCAGGAGGAACACCAGUGGCGAAGGCGGUUCUCUGGGCCUUUCCUGACGCUGAGGAGCGAAAGCGUGGGGAGCGAACAGGCCUAGAUACCCUGGUAGUCCACGCUGUAAACGGUGGGUACUAGGUGUGGGGUCCAUUCCACGGGUUCCGUGCCGUAGCUAACGCUUUAAGUACCCCGCCUGGGGAGUACGGCCGCAAGGCUAAAACUCAAAGGAAUUGACGGGGCCCCGCACAAGCGGCGGAGCAUGCGGAUUAAUUCGAUGCAACGCGUAGAACCUUACCUGGGUUUGACAUGGAUCGGGAGUGCUCAGAGAUGGGUGUGCCUCUUUUGGGGUCGGUUCACAGGUGGUGCAUGGCUGUCGUCCGCUCGUGUCGUGAGAUGUUGGGUUAAGUCCCGCAACGAGCGCAACCCUUGUUCACUGUUGCCAGCACGUUAUGGUGGGGACUCAGUGGAGACCGCCGGGGUCAACUCGGAGGAAGGUGGGGAUGACGUCAAGUCAUCAUGCCCCUUAUGUCCAGGGCUUCACGCAUGCUACAAUGGCUGGUACAGAGAGUGGCGAGCCUGUGAGGGUGAGCGAAUCUCGGAAAGCCGGUCUCAGUUCGGAUUGGGGUCUGCAACUCGACCUCAUGAAGUCGGAGUCGCUAGUAAUCGCAGAUCAGCAACGCUGCGGUGAAUACGUUCCCGGGGCU
rnacentral:rRNA from 1 species